UCUCCGUAGGUGAACCUGCGGAGGGAUCAUUAACACGUUCCAUACCAACGAUCAACUCACUGUGAACCGCAAUGUAUCCGCCUCGGUAGUGCCCGAGCGACGCUUCGGUGUGGGCUGAGAUCCAGGAUGAAGGUGAGUCGCGCAAGGUCGAGGCGUGGUGCGUAUGCGACCUCCCGAGGUAGCUUACGCGUGUAGCCUGCCUGACCGCGCGGCUCAUACGGGUCGAGCGCACUACAUGGCGUGCUGGCUGUGUAACUACAUAGCCAGCAAUGUCAGCCGUCGUCGCGUUGGGAGAGGGCUCCACUCUAUAUAUGCGAUCAGCGGUGAGUCAUCGACCGCUGCACCGCGUAUCCACACGCCCUCUCUGCUGGCUGUGUGCUGUCAUACGGCGCACGGCUCAGAGAGCAGUCAAUCUCUUCGUUGAUCUGAACACAGCACAGCUGACGCAGUCAGCGUGCCUGUAUAACCUUGAACAACUCUUAGCAAUGGAUAUCUUGGUUCUC
rnacentral:misc_RNA from 1 species